rfam:Lupinus angustifolius cultivar Tanjil contig_40848, whole genome shotgun sequence.
AGAAGCAAUCAUAUCAACACUAAUGCACCAGAUGCCAUCGUUACUCUCUAGUUAAGCGUGCUUUGACGAGAGUAGUACAAAGAUGGGUGACCUCCUAGGAUAUCCCCGUGUUGCACCUC